ACCGUUUGAUUUUUUUUCUUGAAUGGGUUCCCACAUGGCUGUUAGAUGAGAUGUGAACCAUGACAGUAGUUCAAUCUUUCUAAGAAACCACACACCUCUUUCUUUCUUCUCGGUUCAGGCAUUCUCUUAUUGUUCCUUUUUUUUUUUUUUUUAAGCAGGAUGAACCUCGAUUCCUCCCUUACGAUGAACCCCAACAUCUUACCGGAUCGCACUCUGAUAGUGCACUUAUCUGAAUUCAACCUCAGUUUGAAUUAUCUCCACCAGAUGCCCCUCU
rnacentral:lncRNA from 1 species